rnacentral:rRNA from 1 species
AAUAGAUACCCGGGUAGUCCACGCCGUAAACGAUGGAUGCUAGCUGUUAGGAGUAUCGACCCUCCUAGUAGCGUAGCUAACGCGUUAAGCAUCCCGCCUGUGGAGUACGGUCGCAAGACUAAAACAUAAAGGAAUUGACGGGGACCCGCACAAGCGGUGGAGCGUGUUGUUUAAUUCGAUGGUAAGCGAAGAACCUUACCCAGGCUUGACAUCCCACUAAGGAUCCCGAAAGGGAACUGUGUCUUCGGACCGUGGUGACAGGUGUUGCAUGGCCGUCGUCAGCUCGUGUCGUGAGAUGUUUGGUUAAGUCCAUCAACGAGCGCAACCCUUAUAGUUAGUUGUAUUUCUCUAGCUAGACUGCCCUGGCAACAGGGAGGAAGGAGGGGAUGAUGUCAGGUCAGUAUUACCCUUACGCCUGGGGCUACAAACACGCUACAAUGGCCGGUACAAAGGGCAGCCAACCCGCGAGGGGGAGCAAAUCCCAUCAAAGCCGGUCUCAGUUCGGAUUGCAGGCUGAAACUCGCCUGCAUGAAG